GGUACCAGGCUAUGCUGAGUUCCCAGGAGCCUUCAUCAAGCUGUCCAAGCUCUGCACAGCCCUGGGCGGCAGGGGUGUUGUGAUCUUCAGCCAACAGGACCCAGGCCUACAGGAACUGCCUCUGGGGACUUCCUAUGGAAAGGGAGUGCAGCUUUGAUUCUUCUGCAAAUUUCUGCCAUUUCAGUGAGGCAGUCAGGACUGUGGACUUCUUUGUGGGGCCCAGGGACCAGCCCCUCAGAGAGUCCCUCUCUGCUGGGUAGGCUCAAUCCACCCUGAAAAUCUGGCUGAGGAGUGUCUAGAGCACCUGGUCUGGACACCUGUCCUUUCCUCUGGGGGCCGUGAUGGUUGAUGGCUAUGGCUGGAGCCAGGUCACCAGAGAAGGAGGAGUAGGCUUGGUCCAGACCUCACAAGGACUGUGAUUGGCUUUGGAGGGCACUGUGCUGCUCCCAGUGUGGUGCCAUGCCUUGAAGUCUCAGGAGGUGAGAGGAGGCUGUAUGAUCUUGGGCCAGGAACCUGCAGAGCUGACUUACUACCAAGCAGCCACUUACCUCUUCACUGAGCCAGGGGUCAAUACUACCAUGACCCUCAGUAGCUAGGGGCCACUUCUGGUCUGGGGGUAAGCAGGAGCCCUGAGGCCAGUAAGGCCUGGCUCUGCCCUCCUGCCAGACUGCCCAAGCAUGAGCAUGGCCUUGACUGUCUAUUCUACAGGGACACCUGGUGGGUGCCUGCCUCUGCUGGUGUGGAUCUUGCCCUGCCAGGAAGCUUGACCCUUCU
rnacentral:lncRNA from 1 species